rfam:Verticillium longisporum isolate VL1 genome assembly, contig: scaffold_304
GAUUGUGUGGUCUAGUGGUAUGGUAUUCUGACUUUAUUGGCAGAAGGCGUAGGUUCGAAUCCUACCCCAGUCA